CUACGGGGUGCACCAGUGGGGAAUAUUGCACAAUGGGCGCAAGCCUGAUGCAGCCAUGCCGCGUGUAUGAAGAAGGCCUUCGGGUUGUAAAGUACUUUCAGCGGGGAGGAAGGGAGUAAAGUUAAUACCUUUGCUCAUUGACGUUACCCGCAGAAGAAGCACCGGCUAACUCCGUGCCAGCAGCCGCGGUAAUACGGAGGGUGCAAGCGUUAAUCGGAAUUACUGGGCGUAAAGCGCACGCAGGCGGUUUGUUAAGUCAGAUGUGAAAUCCCCGGGCUCAACCGGGGAACUGCAUCUGUUACUGGCGAGCUUGAGUCUCGUAGAGGGGGGUAGAAUUCCAGGUGUAGCGGUGAAAUGCGUAGAGAUCUGGAGGAAUACCGGUGGCGAAGGCGGCCCCCUGGACGAAGACUGACGCUCAGGUGCGAAAGCGUGGGGAGCAAACAGGAUUAGAUACCCGGGUAGUC
rnacentral:rRNA from 1 species